GGCUGGUGUCAGGCCUCCCACCCCCACCCUCCCUGGGGGGCUGCUCCAGCCGCCAAAGACUGGAGCUGUGGGUGGAUGAGGGUUGGAGGACUCGCCUGGCCCCGCCAUCCGCCAAGCUCAGGAGGAGUCUCGCAGACCCACAGUCCCCUCAGCGAGCUCCCCGCUCCAUCUUUCCCCCAUGCGGGGCACGGAGACAUGCUUUAUCCUCGGGCAAAUACCUCUCUAGGCCCCGUCUAGGCACUGGGGAUGCAGAGGCACGAGAUCCAGGCUGGCAAUCUCCAGCAAUUACAAGGGAGAGGCCUGGAAAGCGAGCUCAAGCCCAUUUUACAGCUGGAAAGGGGCCCGUGCAGGCCAAGUGACUCAAGGGGGUGGGGGGACUCCACCUGCUCCCAGCACGUCUCCAACCUUGAAGGUCCAGGUGCUGGGGUUGGGGCCCAGGGGACAGGGGACCACGUUAAACACAACCCUUGAGGAUGCAAUCCACAAACUCCAGACUGUGGGAAUCUCGACGGGACAAACCACCCAGUUUCUUCAACAAAUGCAUUUCAGGGGGAAAAAGUAACGGGAAAACCACAGAUUAAAAGAAAAGUAAGAGACAUCACCAAAUGCAACAUGUGGGUUUUGUUUAGUAGGGCAACUAUUAUAAAAAAAAACCAAAACAAAACCUAAGGGACCACUGAGAUUAUGUGAACCCUGUUGGAUACUUGAUGAUAUUCCGUAUCAUUUCCUGGGUGCGAUCACGGUAUUGCAGUUGCUAUUAGAGUAACACACUGGGAUUUUUACGGAUAGAACGACGUGCCCGGGACUUGCACAAGCCUUGUCCGCUGAGGGGGACGGUAGGACACGGGGGUGGUGAGCGGAAACAAGAGAGUCCCCGCACUGGAGUUAGAGCUGGGGAUGCGUUUAUGCACUUUCUCCAUUUUUGUGUCUGUUUGGAAUCUGCCAUCGUAAAAGUUAAAAAGAAAAAGGACAGAGUUUGAGACUCACCCUCAAUGCAUGCGCCUAGGCUCUCAGCAGCCAUCAAGGGAGGGCAACAGUCUUCAGACCCCAGGUCAUGGCAGUGACACAUGGCCAGCCCCGCCGUCUUCCAUGUUUAUCUAUCACUCGCCCCAGGCCCACAGGCGCUCCCAGCGUCCUUAACAUCAAAAGAGGCUGGGGGCCUCACUUUGGGGGCCACGGCAGUGGGCGGCUGGGAAA